AGAGUGGCCAAAGAUGACUCUCUGGUCAGCAUGUCAUGAGAAGAGUGAGGACAUUGGGGAAGUGAAGAACAGAAGAGGGUGUGAGAACAGCUGAAGAGGAUGAGUUUGGACUGGGCCAUGUCAAGGGAAACGCUAUGUUCUUCUAGACUGGUUGGAGGGACACUGCUAGGUGAAGGGGAGGGGUUUACACUCAAGACAGAGUCUGGGACCUGGGGAUUUGGAUAUGAGUGAAACAAUGGGUUCCAGCAAUCAGCCAGAAUCCAAGGAGGAAAGGGAGAGAAAGGACUCACUGUGAAACAGAAUCACUGAAGGGGAUCAUGAUAUCCAAGAACUUUCUGUUGUCCUUUGUGCUUCAUAAUUCACUUUGCUAUCUUCAUCUUUCGGAAACUGACCACCACAAAGGAGGAACCGACUAGCUGGAGUAAAGCCAGGAGAGAGAAGCAGAAGCCUUCAGAAGCUGUUACUAGGUAGUAAGAAAUCACUCUCUGGAGUCCCAGAGAGCAGAUAUUCUGGAAAAGAAUGGAUUUCCUGCUAUUGUGCAGGAUGAAGACUUGAGUAAUUUUGUCUGGUUAUUAAAGGAAGCCUGGAAGAUGGGGGGGUCAGAUUAUCGUAUGUCCGGGAAAAUUCUCAUGGCACUGUGUGUCUAAGGCAGGAAAUUAGAUACAAGAUGAAAUCCAAGAAGGUACUGUGGUUGGGUUUCUCCCACAGAAAGAGGAGAAAAAUCCCUGUAUCCCUACUUAUGCAAACAAUAUGCAAAUUGGGGUGAUUACAUAUUUGCUUAGAAAAUUUCCGUUACCUCAUUUUGGCUUCAAGGGGAGUGGGGACACCAAAAGGGAAUGUUUAUCAACAGUCCAGAGUUGUUAGAUUUCUUGCAGGGGAAACAAAGGGUAAAUUUCAUAUCAAACAAAUGUCAGGGUUUUAAGCAAGUUUUCCAAAUGCCUCAAUGUCUCCCCAAAACAUACCAAAGAAUAAUUAUGAAAUGUGAUCCACUGACAAAAUGAGGCACAAGUGGAAAAUUCUUUUCUCCCCUAUUCAUUUUACUGUAAGGGACUUUUUCUCCUCUUUGUUGGCUCAACAAUGUGAAGGAAGGGCUUGGAUUUUUUCCUCCAGAUGAGUUCUGCAAUCAUUUCUAGCUGUUUCUCUAAAGCUGGAUUUGAAUCUGUUGCUUUGGAGUGAUGUAGAACGCCUGUCUCAUGUGGCGACAUAUGAGGCUGAGAGCAUCCAACAAAUGGACCAGCUGCAUAUGUGUGACACCUCCAAUGGUGUCCAGGCAGCACAGCCGAGACCACCUGGGAUGGCUGUCAGCAACAAAAGCACUGGCCAGUAAAACUUUCUGCAAGGAUGGAAAUGUGUUACAUCUGCACUGUCCAGUAAAGCCCCCAGGAUGGAUACAAUGGUUUAGGGAGAGAAUUUGGACAGAGAGAAGAGGUCAAAGAUAGGCGCUGGUGGAGGAGGAAGAGCUGGCUGUUGAGGAACAGCCAGUAGAGGAGGAAGAGUUCAGAUAUAUGUAUAACACAGAAGCCUGGAGAAGAACAUGUCUCAAGAAGGAGGAACUGGUCGACCUUACCAAGUUCAGCUGAGAAACCAAAUAAGAUGCAGAUGGAGAACAGCUGAGCCUGAUAAGAGCUUGCUGGGUGGUGCAGUGGAGGUGAAAGCCCAUUGAAGUGGGCUAAGGAGAGAGUAAGAGAUAAAGAAGCACAGACCAUGAAGUCAGCCAACUCUUUCAAAGAAAUUCUCAGUAAAGGGAAACAGGGAACAGAGCAGUCACUACAGGGUUGAUGGGAUCAUUUUUUUAAGAUGGGUUAUUUUUUAAAGUUACUUUUAUGUGCUGGUGAGAAAGAUUCAGUAGAGAGGGAGAAGUCAAUGAUGCACAAAAGGAAAGAGACAAAUGUGGGGUUGACAUCCUUGAGGUGAGAAGGGACAGACUCCGGAACAUAUAUGUACAUCUCUGCAAGUAAGGCCCUUCAUAUUAACACAGAACUGGCUCAGUAACUAAACUGCAAUUUGCAAAGAUGUGAACACAAAGUAACACUGUUCUUCCCCCCACCAUCCGGUGAUUCUAUAGUAGUUCUCUCAGGUUGUACUUCCCUCUUUCUGGAUAAAGCCUCCAAAACAUCUCAUGGCUUUACCAGUUACUCUCAGAUAAUAACAAAAUCCAUCCAUUGUGUUUAGCACCUAGUAUAUUACCAAUACUCCCCAAUUUACUGAAUUUUAAGUUUCUCCCAUCCACUAGCUCUGGUCUACCCCACACAUCAGGAAAUUAUAAGUGACAGAGGGAGGAGAGGAUGUUUCUACCUUCUUGCCUGCUCACCUCAUCUGCCAGUCUGGCCUGCUGGGUUUUCAUUCUUCCAAGGUUGGAGCCAGGUAGGAAAAACAGUUAAGAGGAAAAAAGGCCUUAUCUGAUUGGUGAGUUAUAAUUUGGCACCAAUGCUCUUUUUAGGGUACAGAAUUUAAACGCCAAUACUCUCUCUUCUGAAGCACUUUUAUGGAUUCUUCAAAGACUUCCCAUAGGUAAGAAUUUCCUCAAGAUAGCAGCUGGACCCCUGCCCUGUGGUUUCUGGCAAGUUACCCCCAUCUGUUGGGGGGCACCUCCAGGCGGUUCUCUUGGGUAGAGUCCACUACAGAAUGACCCAGUUUGGUUCCUUCCAUGGGGUCAUCUGACCAAGGGGAACACCCUUGACUCACCAAAUUCUAGAAGUACAGCUCAUGACAACAAAACUCUCUACUCCAUGGCUCUACAGCAACAAGCUAGAGACAGUCUCUCCUCUGCAGAUUUUUUAGAUGUUCUCUCACAUUCCAGGGGACAUAAUAACAACUUCUCUGUGAGUGUCUCUUAUAGAUCCCCUUCCUUAGUUGCUUGGAAAUGGUAGAAACACUCCCUUUCCCAGCCCUACAUCCCCACUGACAACUCUCUCCAAAGAUACCCUCAAUCCUAGAAUCUCAUAUCACUUAUUCUCACUGGGAGGUAGGCCAAAGACUAAUGCCAGCAGAACAGAAGUCACAGUCUCAGUAGACCCUGCAUAGGUGGUCCAAUACUCUCUUUGGGAUGCUGGAAUAUCUGGUUCUCAGAGGUGAGGCCUCUGCAAAAACUCUGAGAGCAAGAGUCCCAUUUUAACAGUCGAUAGGGGAUACAUAAAUAGAAGGAAGAAUACAUAAAGAGUGAAGCUGUUGUGGCUGGAAUUGGCCCAAUUUGCAUUUCUUUAAUAUUUCAAAGUUAUUUCUUCCAGCACCACACACACUCUUCUUCCUAAGAGUGUUUUUUUAUUUUAUUUUUUUAUGUUUUAAUGUUUAUUUAUUUUUGAGAGAGAG